rnacentral:tRNA from 3 species
GGAAGCAGAUGGAUGCUGGUGUAUCCCCUGGUCUUCAAAACCAGUGUGGGGCGCUUGAUACGUCCCGGGUGGGUUCAAUUCCCACAUGUUUCCGCCA